AGUGAACGCUGGCGGUAGGCCUAACACAUGCAAGUCGAACGGCAGCACAGUAAGAGCUUGCUCUUACGGGUGGCGAGUGGCGGACGGGUGAGGAAUACAUCGGAAUCUACUUUUUCGUGGGGGCUAACGUAGGGAAACUUACGCUAAUACCGCAUACGACCUACGGGUGAAAGCAGGGGAUCUUCGGACCUUGCGCGAUUGAAUGGGCCGAUGUCGGAUUAGCUAGUUGGCGGGGUAAAGGCCCACCAAGGCGACGAUCCGUAGCUGGUCUGAGAGGAUGAUCAGCCACACUGGAAGUGAGACACGGUCCAGACUCCUACGGGAGGCAGCAGUGGGGAAUAUUGGACAAUGGGCGCAAGCCUGAUCCAGCCAUACCGCGUGGGUGAAGAAGGCCUUCGGGUUGGAAAGCCCUUUUGUUGGGAAAGAAAAGCAGCAGGUUAAUACCCCGCUGUUCUGACGGUACCCAAAGAAUAAGCACCGGCUAACUUCGUG
rnacentral:rRNA from 1 species